GAUGAACGCUGGCGGCGUGCCUAAUACAUGCAAGUCGAGCGAACAGACGAGGAGCUUGCUCCUCUGACGUUAGCGGCGGACGGGUGAGUAACACGUGGAUAACCUACCUAUAAGACUGGGAUAACUUCGGGAAACCGGAGCUAAUACCGGAUAAUAUAUUGAACCGCAUGGUUCAAUAGUGAAAGACGGUUUUGCUGUCACUUAUAGAUGGAUCCGCGCCGCAUUAGCUAGUUGGUAAGGUAACGGCUUACCAAGGCAACGAUGCGUAGCCGACCUGAGGGGGUGAUCGGCCACACUGGAACUGAGACACGGUCCAGACUCCUACGGGAGGCAGCAGUAGGGAAUCUUCCGCAAUGGGCGAAAGCCUGACGGAGCAACGCCGCGUGAGUGAUGAAGGUCUUCGGGUCGUAAAACUCUGUUAUUAGGGAAGAACAAAUGUGUAAGUAACUAUGCACGUCUUGACGGUACCUAAUCAGAAAGCCACGGCUAACUACGUG
rnacentral:rRNA from 1 species